CCUCAGAUGAUGGAACAUGUCAGUAUGCCACUCUGCUAAAGAGCUAUCGGCAGUUGAAGGCUGCUGGGAGAGAAGAGCCAAUUUCUCUAAGAAUGUUGCCCCUGGAAGGAAUGAUGCCCCUGCUUCCAUUUGAAAUGUCAUCUUCUUUGAAGUUUGGAGGCAUCUGCUCUCAGCAGCAUUUUCAAACUAAUGAUGAAGGUGCAGGGACCCAAGUGCCAUCUGGACCAAAGGCUGGAAAACCAUCCUAUGAGUCUCCUUUGCAUGAUGCCCCUGGUGGUGACUGCCGAAGACAGCAAAUUGUACAGGAUUCUUAAACUCUCCCCAGGAACAAGGGCUAUUGCCAGGAAUAGAGCAAAGAUGAAGGCACCCGAUGUAGGGCACCCCUGGAGCCUACAAAGUGUUGUGUACCAGAAAGAAUCAGUCUGCCACCAGCAGUCAUGGUGACAGCCAGGACCUGCCUGGGAAGUCAUCCAGGACCCAAGAAGCAGCAUUGGACUUAGCACAGAAAAAAAAUAAUAAUUGCUUUUUGCUUGUACUGUAUUGGGUCCAACUCAGUUAAUAAAGCAGAG